AGAGUUUGAUCCUGGCUCAGAUUAAACGCUGGCGGCAUGCCUUACACAUGCAAGUCGAACGGCAGCACGGGGGCAACCCUGGUGGCGAGUGGCGGACGGGUGAGUAAAGCAUCGGAACGUAUCCUGGAGUGGGGGAUAACGUAGCGAAAGUUACGCUAAUACCGCAUAUUCUGUGAGCAGGAAAGCAGGGGAUCGCAAGACCUUGCGCUCUGGGAGCGGCCGAUGUCGGAUUAGCUAGUUGGUGGGGUAAAGGCCUACCAAGGCGACGAUCCGUAGCGGGUCUGAGAGGAUGAUCCGCCACACUGGGACUGGGACACGGCCCAGACUCCUACGGGAGGCAGCAGUGGGGAAUUUUGGACAAUGGGCGCAAGCCUGAUCCAGCCAUGCCGCGUGAGUGAAGAAGGCCUUCGGGUUGUAAAGCUCUUUCGGCGGGGAAGAAAUUGCACGGGUUAAUACCCUGUGUAGAUGACGGUACCCGAAUAAGAAGCACCGGCUAACUACGUGCCAGCAGCCGCGGUAAUACGUAGGGUGCGAGCGUUAAUCGGAAUUACUGGGCGUAAAGCGUGCGCAGGCGGUUUGGUAAGUCAGAUGUGAAAUCCCCGGGCUCAACCUGGGAACUGCAUUUGAGACUGCCAGGCUGGAGUUUGGCAGAGGGGGGUGGAAUUCCACGUGUAGCAGUGAAAUGCGUAGAGAUGUGGAGGAACACCGAUGGCGAAGGCAGCCCCCUGGGCCAAUACUGACGCUCAUGCACGAAAGCGUGGGGAGCAAACAGGAUUAGAUACCCUGGUAGUCCACGCCCUAAACGAUGUCAACUAGGUGUUGGGAGGGUUAAACCUUUUAGUGCCGUAGCUAACGCGUGAAGUUGACCGCCUGGGGAGUACGGCCGCAAGGCUAAAACUCAAAGGAAUUGACGGGGACCCGCACAAGCGGUGGAUGAUGUGGAUUAAUUCGAUGCAACGCGAAAAACCUUACCUACCCUUGACAUGUCAGGAAUCCUGAAGAGAUUUGGGAGUGCUCGCAAGAGAGCCUGAACACAGGUGCUGCAUGGCUGUCGUCAGCUCGUGUCGUGAGAUGUUGGGUUAAGUCCCGCAACGAGCGCAACCCUUGUCAUUAAUUGCCAUCAUUCAGUUGGGCACUUUAAUGAGACUGCCGGUGACAAACCGGAGGAAGGUGGGGAUGACGUCAAGUCCUCAUGGCCCUUAUGGGUAGGGCUUCACACGUC
rnacentral:rRNA from 1 species